GAAAUAAUAUAAUUUAAACUUCUAAUUUAAAAUAAAGUGAAUUAAUUCAUUUAUAUUUCU
rnacentral:tRNA from 1 species